GCCCUACAAAGCUGACAGGGCCUCUGCUUUAUAGGUCUCAUUGGGAUGACGUUCAUGCAUUAAGUGGUUUUGGACUUGAAUUUAAUCUGUCUUAGAAGGAGGAUACAUUAACCUUGCUUGAGUCAAUGAACUGAUGGCUCCAGAGAGCCAGCUGCGGGAGGAUGAAUUAUGGUGUAGACUUGAAAAGUUAUCCGACCCACGGCCCGUGGGCUGCAUGCGGCCAGGAUGGCUUUGAAUGUGACCCAACACAGAAGGAGACAUGCAUACAAGGAGAAUGCCAGGUGAACGUGAAGACCAUCAUUUGCAAGCCAAGAGAGGCCUGGAGCAGAUCCUUCAGAGCCCUCAGAAGGGACCAACCCUGCUGGCACCUUGAUUUUGGACUUCCAGCCUCCAGAACUAAGAACUUGAUGUAUACCUCCUGACCUGUUCAUCUUGUAGCUGCCUCUUGACAGGUUGCUGACUUCGCCUGGAGGGACUCUAUCAGAUGGAAUCUCCCUCUGUCAUCCCGGCUGGAGUGCAAUGGUGCGUUCUUGGCUCACUGCAACCUCUAUCUCGCAGGCUCAAGUAAUCCUCCCACUUCAGCCUAUUGAGUAACUGGGACCACAGGUGCACACCAUCAUGCCAGGAGAAACAAAUGCCAAACAGUGAAGGUCAAGAAGGCCAUAGUGAUAUAUGCAAGUUCAAAAAGUGGAAGAAGCUUUUACACAGAGAAAUAUCAAUCAGCCAGCUUUUCAUGGCUGAUGCCUGAAAAUAUCAUCCACCUGUGUCUCUGAGCAUACUUUGGCUUUGACUCCUAGUGAUAUUACAUGUAAUGUCAUGGCUAGAUAUUUCAAUUUCAGAAACAAAUGAUUCCACUGAAUAGUAAGACAUUUGCCAACUGGACAAUAAUUCAUAAGGAGAGGGUUCAGAAACUGUAAGUUUUAUUAUGAAAAGGUAAGGAAAUCCAACCCUAGAUGGAGGUAACUUGGAAAGAAUGAUUGGUUAUUUUGUAUAACUCUAAAGGGCAUAACUAGGACUAACAAGUCAAAGCUUUCAGGAAGAAAAUUUCUAUAUAAUGUGCAGAAAUUUCAAACAGUUGAUCAGUUGCUUUUGUUAUUAUUGUUAGAGACAGGAUCUCACUAUGUUGCCCAGGCUUGAUUCUAACCUCCCCCACUGCCAACCCCCCGGCUCAAGCAAUCCUACUGCCUUAGCCUCUUGAGUAGCUGGGACUACGGGCACACACACACACACCACUGCACCAGGUAAAUUUCUAACAACUCAAAGUGUUAUAAAGGAAUAGGUCGCCUAGUAGCAUGGUCAGCGGUGUCUGUAAGACUUCUCGUCAGUCAGGCUGCGGUAUGGGAUUGAAGUGGAAGAUCACUAAGAAAUGGAGGGAAUGAAUUUCAGAAUGGGUGGGGGGUUUCAGGGUGUUGGGUCAAUAGCUGUCUUAUCAAUGGAGCUGAGAAUGAAAACCUAGGAAAAGUGACACUGGCUCUAGAAGGGAACUGGGCCAUCUGCCUUAUAGACCAUCUGCUAAUUUGUUGCUCAUUUAUUGGUGAAACUUGGGAAGGUAAUGGAUAUGUAUGAGCUCUCUCAGAACUUGCCUUGUUGCCUAAUGGAUAUCUUUGACUUUUCCAACUCCAAGUAUCUGUAAAAGUUCCUAAUUUCCUCAUAGACUUGUAAAACCACUCAAACCCACCAGGCCCUUAUUCUGUUUCCAAGAUCACCUUUCAGGUGUCACCGUGUUGACAAGUUAUUUGGAGCUCUAUUGACCUUGUCUCAUUAUUGGAACUUUUCUAAUAUCUUGAAUGCAGAUGGAAGGAAAGGAGACAAUAACAACAAAAAAUAAAACUGCAACAGCAUGAUUUAUUAUAGUAUAUAUUUCUCAGAAGAGACAAAAACAGCAUCAAUGAAGAGCAAUCAUAGAAGGUUCACAGUUGCCUCAGAACCAAUUCAACAAUUCAUAGGGGGUUGGCAUCACAUAAACAGCUGGGAAAAAGCAGUUAAAUGAUUUUCUACAUGCUCUUAGGGAGAGACUGUGUCUAAUCUGAUGCAGUUGCUCCAAAGGAGCGCAGCUAAUGACAUCUACACCAAAUAUCAGUUCAAUAAAUUGCUUCCUUUCAUUAAUCUGAGUGUCGGUGUCUGCAUUAACGGUGUUAACACAGCAGAAGGUCUAAAGGAGAGAUAAUAAGGACCUGUUUUUAGUGACAUGUGGGGGCGGCCCUGUGAAAACAAGCAAAUAUAUAACUGGUCCCUUGACUCUGGUGAAUCAAAACCAUUUCAUUUAUUCAUUCUGUCACUCCAAAAUUAUUCUUUGAGUGACUACUAUGUGCCUGGUCCUGGGCUAUGUCCUCAUGUACCAAUGGACAAAGGGCCUUCAGGGAGCUUAUAGUAGGUGGGGAGGAGGCAGAAGUCAUCACCUGCAUACAUAAUUGACUGUGAUGAGGGAUAAGAAGGGAAAGUAUGCAUUACUUUGAAAAAAUGCAACAGGGGAAUACCUUUAGAUGGAGACUGACCAUCUUUCUAGAAAAAUCAGGGCUUUAGGCUAGAAGAGCUUGUAGUGUAUGGGCGAUUAUGACUCCUCUGGGAGUCUAGGCGUACAUGAACAGUGUGCGUUUACUAUCAAAUCUGUAUGUGACUAUGUUUUGCAGUGGGCAGGCCUAAACAAACUUACCCCCCUCCCUCCCCAAGGCCAAGGAAGCUGAGAGGCCAAAGAUAAAAGCUAACAUAUCCAGUCUCUUAGAAAUAAGCAUUCAAUAGGGACUUGGCAAACAGAAGCCAUGUCUCUAUCUCAGGUGGCAGUGAGACAAGAUGGUGGAUCCCUACACCAUUACCCCUCAGACGCAGGGCUUAUAUGGUAUAGGGAAAGGGUGAUUCAGAAAGGAUGCAUAGGACAAUUGAAGUGCGAUAACAUCAAGACUGUUUGGCUUAAGGGCAGGAUUUACAGUAAGUAUCUGUUCUUACACAAGGAGCAAUAGAUAAACUGGAAAUUGUAGAGGCCUUCCCAGAGCUGGAUUUAAUCAGAAGCCAACAUGGAAGAUGAGCAUCCAAGAUGGAGUUGCUUUGGUCUCCACAAACUGUAUUGGGAAAAUACAACUUUCCUUACCCUGAUUAUUAUACAUUAUGGUUAGGUGCUUAUAAAUGAAGAUAAUGACCAUUUCUGUAAUCGGCAAUGUACUGUAAAUGAGAUGGAAGCACAGUGUAUCUCUGGGCAAGGUGUGUAAUAGUAAGGCCUUCCCUUUCCUUCCACCCUCAAGGCUUGGGUGGAUUAAGAAUCUCUGGUCACUAUGGCACCUUAUGACCAUUGAUGAGCAUCACUUCAAGAAAGAACUAGGACUGUCUCUGGACAGAGCAUUUUUUCUUUGAACUCUGGUGUCUGUGAGCUGGCUCACCUGAUUCGGGCGCUCUGUGGCUUCCAAGAUUCAUCUUGAGAAUCACAUCAAAAGUCCUGAAACUGACUGACCAUCAGGGGAUGCAGAAGAGAGAAGGGUGCCCUGGCUAAGCACUGGCUGCAAUGCUGGUCCAAGGGGGAGAAACUACAUGGCCAAGAAAAUGCAGCUCACUCGUGGGAAUGUCAUAGCACCUGGAGGAACUCAUAAAAUAGCAUAGGAAUAUGCCUAUACCAUUUCUGCUUCUAUUUCAUUGAGGGAGUGAAUAUGAUAAGAUGUCAUCAGGUGACUGAAUGUAUCGUUAGCAUUCUCCUCCUUAUUGAUUACAUUUAUUGAAAUCUUGUAUGUCAGGCACUGUUUUAAGCUCUGUCAUCCAUCUGUCUGUCUAAAACCUCAUUAAAUUGUCACAACUGAUUGCCAAAUGUAACUCUUCAAAACAGGAAUAUUCUAAUUUAUUUUUCUUAUAACUGGGAAGAUAUUUUUAAGUUUCCAAAAAGAAAGAGUUAAUGUUUUUAAUAAAAGGUGUUCCCAUUCCCUG
rnacentral:lncRNA from 1 species